rnacentral:rRNA from 1 species
AUUGAACGCUGGCGGAAUGCUUUACACAUGCAAGUCGAACGGCAGCACGGACUUCGGUCUGGUGGUGAGUGGCGAACGGGUGAGUAAUGUAUCGGAACGUGCCCAGUCGUGGGGGAUAACGUAGUGAAAAUUACGCUAAUACCGCAUACGAUCUAUGGAUGAAAGCGGGGGAUCGCAAGACCUCGCGCGAUUGGAGCGGUCGAUAUCAGAUUAGGUAGUUGGUGGGGUAAAGGCCCACCAAGCCAACGAUCUGUAGCUGGUCUGAGAGGACGACCAGCCACACUGGAACUGAGACACGGUCCAGACUCCUACGGGAGGCAGCAGUGGGGAAUUUUGGACAAUGGGCGAAAGCCUGAUCCAGCCAUUCCGCGUGCAGGAUGAAGGCCCUCGGGUUGUAAACUGCUUUUGUACAGAACGAAAAGGUUUCUACUAAUACUAGGAGCUCAUGACGGUACUGUAAGAAUAAGCACCGGCUAACUACGUGCCAGCAGCCGCCGUAA